rnacentral:rRNA from 1 species
CAGGUCUUGACAUCCCACUGACCGGCUUAGAGAUAGGCUUUUCCCUUCGGGGACAGUGGUGACAGGUGGUGCAUGGUUGUCGUCAGCUCGUGUCGUGAGAUGUUGGGUUAAGUCCCGCAACGAGCGCAACCCUUGAUCUUAGUUGCCAGCAUUCAGUUGGGCACUCUAAGGUGACUGCCGGUGAUAAACCGGAGGAAGGUGGGGAUGACGUCAAAUCAUCAUGCCCCUUAUGACCUGGGCUACACACGUGCUACAAUGGACGAUACAAAGGGCUGCAAACCCGCGAGGGGGAGCCAAUCCCAUAAAAUCGUUCUCAGUUCGGAUUGUAGGCUGCAACUCGCCUACAUGAAGCCGGAAUCGCUAGUAAUCGUGGAUCAGCAUGCCACGGUGAAUGCGUUCCC